CUGAAGUUACAGCUGUAACUUGAAGCAACGAGUUGGGUGCUGAAGGGCAGUCAGUACUGCCAGGAAGGAUGAUCAUGGCCUCUUCUGAACAAAUGACAGGCUCCACAGCUACCUUUUUCUUUUUUCCUCUCUCUUUUUUUCCCUCUCUUGAAAAGGAAACAAUGGAAAACUGCCUCGGGCAAGUCAAGGACAGCCUACAGUUGUUGGAAAUGUUUUCUGGGGUCAUGUGGAUAUAUUCCCUCUCCUAAAAUUCUGGGGAAAAAUCAAUGCUGAAUAGGAUCAGGAUAAACAGCGAAAGUGAAGAAAUAUGACUGCAAAUUCCAUUGGACCCAAACCCCAAAACAAGAGUAUAUAUUCUUAACG
rnacentral:lncRNA from 1 species